CCUACGGGCGGCAGCAGUGAGGAAUAUUGGUCAAUGGACGAGAGUCUGAACCAGCCAAGUAGCGUGAAGGAUGACUGCCCUAUGGGUUGUAAACUUCUUUUAUAAAGGAAUAAAACGAGGCACGUGUGCCUUUUUGCAUGUACUUUAUGAAUAAGGAUCGGCUAACUCCGUGCCAGCAGCCGCGGUAAUACGGAGGAUCCGAGCGUUAUCCGGAUUUAUUGGGUUUAAAGGGAGCGUAGAUGGGUUGUUAAGUCAGUUGUGAAAGUUUGCGGCUCAACCGUAAAAUUGCAAUUGAUACUGGCAGUCGUGAGUACAGUUGAGGUAGGCGGAAUUCGUGGUGUAGCGGUGAAAUGCUUAGAGAUCACGAAGAACCCCGAUUGCGAAGGCAGCUUACUAAACUGUGACUGACAUUGAUGCUCGAAAGUGUGGGUAUCAAACAGGAUUAGAUACCCCAGUAGUC
rnacentral:rRNA from 1 species